ensembl:misc_RNA
GUGCAUACAAGGAAUAAGUCUCUAUCUUUCCACGGAACAAGUAUAUCAUGGACAGUGCAUGCUUCUUCAUGUCGACUCACCAAUCUGACUCACCCCUAGCCUUGAGACCACCUCUGGGGUGAAAGGGUAGUUAAGUCUCCCAACCCCAUUCAGUCCUUAGUCUCC